rnacentral:rRNA from 1 species
ACGUCAAGUCCUCAUGGCCCUUACGGGCUGGGCUGCACACGUGCUACAAUGGCGGUGACAAUGGGCAGCCAACUCGCGAGAGUGCGCUAAUCCCAAAAAGCCGUCUCAGUUCGGAUUGCACUCUGCAACUCGGGUGCAUGAAGUUGGAAUCGCUAGUAAUCGUGGAUCAGCAUGCCACGGUGAAUACGUUCCCGGGCCUU